UGCGGGGUGGUGCAAUGGUAACACGUCUCCCUUUGAAGGAGAAAUUCUUGGUUCGAGUCCAAGCCCCGCAG
rfam:Candidatus Staskawiczbacteria bacterium RIFCSPHIGHO2_01_FTLL_36_16 rifcsphigho2_01_scaffold_13524, whole genome shotgun sequence.